rnacentral:sRNA from 1 species
CUCUUUCCUUUCGGUGUGGUGAGUAAGCGCAGUUGUCGUCUCUUGCAGUGCCGUUGCUGGUUCUCACACCUUUUAGGUCUGUUCUGGUCUUCCGUUCCGACUCUCUCUUUUUCGUUGCAGCCACUGAAGAUCCUGGUGUCGCCAUGGGCCGCCGCCCCGCCCGUUGUUACCGGUAUUGUAAGAACAAGCCGUACCCAAAGUCUCGCUUCUGCCGAGGUGUCCCUGAUGCCAAGAUUCGCAUUUUUGACCUGGGGCGGAAAAAGGCAAAAGUGGAUGAGUUUCCGCUUUGUGGCCACAUGGUGUCAGAUGAAUAUGAGCAGCUGUCCUCUGAAGCCCUGGAGGCUGCCCGAAUUUGUGCGAAUAAGUACAUGGUAAAAAGUUGUGGCAAAGAUGGCUUCCAUAUCCGGGUGCGGCUCCACCCCUUCCACGUCAUCCGCAUCAACAAGAUGUUGUCCUGUGCUGGGGCUGACAGGUGAGCUUGGUCUGGGCCUUUUAAGGCAGUUGGAGUCUCUACAUUAUUAGGCUUGCAUUAUUUUAUCAGAGCAUAGAGGUGGCCCCAGUGACUCAGCCACUAUGGCUACUAGAAAAGCCAGGCUGGCAAGUGACUUUCAGUGGUCACUCAGGACCCCUUCCUGUGGACUGUUGCAGAUACAAACAAAGCAUGAGUAAGUCUUAGCAAGCUCUUCCCCACAGGUUAGGGGAAACACUGGUGAUGGGAGUAGCUCUUCUUGCUUUUAGCUGAAUGACAACCAUCUUGCCAGCAGGUAGCUGAAGCUGGCAGAGGAGCCCAGUGGCGCCUUUUCAGUGGUUCUUGGGAUGCUCCGCAGCCAAUUAAGCCGACUGAGUUCCUUUCCUCAUGGGGACCCAGUGUGCAAUGGCUGCACACAGCAGCUUCCUUGGUAGUGUACGCAGCCUGUUGGUUGUAUGGGUUGCUCUAAGGGACCUUGGAGACAGGCCUUUCCGGUGGAUGUUCGUGUUUCUGACCUUGCACUACCCCAAUGUAGGCUCCAAACAGGCAUGCGAGGUGCCUUUGGAAAGCCCCAGGGCACUGUGGCCAGGGUUCACAUUGGCCAAGUUAUCAUGUCCAUCCGCACCAAGCUGCAGAACAAGGAGCAUGUGAUUGAGGCCCUGCGCAGGGCCAAGUUCAAGUUUCCUGGCCGCCAGAAGGUAUGUAGUGCUGCAGCCCCCUUCUCCCACCUUUCUUUGCCCCAGGCCUCCUGACUCAGUUCUUUCCAUUGCUCCGUAGAUCCACAUCUCAAAGAAGUGGGGCUUCACCAAGUUCAAUGCUGAUGAAUUUGAAGACAUGGUGGCUGAAAAGCGGCUCAUCCCAGAUGGCUGUGGGGUCAAGUACAUCCCCAAUCGUGGCCCUCUGGACAAGUGGCGGGCCCUGCACUCAUGAGGGCUUCCAAUGUGCUGCCCCCCUCUUAAUACUCACCAAUAAAUUCUACUUCCUGUCCA